UGCAUUUUAAGCUUAUAAAGAAGGGCAUAUAAUACAAGAAGUAAAGAGACAUAAACAAUUUAGCAAGAAUCAGAGCAAACCAUUUAGAUUCUAUUUUAGCAAUAUGGAGGCUUCGCUAUUCUCAAACCAUCCCAUUACAAAACACCUAAAAAUGUUGGAGCCCAUGAGAAUGUAAGGGAGCACACAAGAGGCCAGUAUCAAAGCUCAGGUGUGAAUUCCGAAAGCUAAAUUCUUUGCGAAAGAGAGAGAUGUCCGAAAAGGCGGGAGGUGGUGGACUGUAUCAGAUUUUAUAGGCAGUCUGGAGAAGGUGGCAUCUGAUUUACACAGGGCUCACAGAUUGGUUUGAUCAAGUAUGAUGUCUACAUAGUGUAUGGGGAAGGCUGGUCGCCCCACCCUAAUCUUCUGAGGUGUUACCUCCUAACCUGCUUAGGCUUGUUUUUGUUUCUGGUUGUUACUAAACCAAGAACUAGAGGACAGAGGCCCCUGUGUACCAAAGGAAGUCCUUGGAGGAA
rnacentral:lncRNA from 10 species